ensembl:lncRNA
AGCUGAAUUAAGGAACGAGCUACUCUGGCAUCUGCUCCUGCUGCCCAACUGUAUGGCAGGGCAAAAGUCCUGCUAUAGCACUUCUGGCUGCUCGAGGCAGUUCCAGGAGUUGGACUCUACAAUCUUUUUGGGUCUCUUACAACACAGCAUAUUCAAUGCUCCUAUGAUUCUAAGAACCGUGCCUGGACAGCAAGAGGGUCUGCAUAAGCCACUGAGGCAGCAAGAGGCAGAGCAUGCCUUUUCACGCUCCUACAGUCUCACUGUGAAGAAGAAUCUGAAGCAAAAUGCCUUCCAAAGAAUUGUUCAGAUAUGUCAGAGUUUCCACAUUUAUAUGCUGCACAUACCAUCUUCACGCUUGCUUGUGUUGCAACCACAACUGGGCUACUGAGUGCUUUUGUAUUCCAGGAGUUGCAGGAGACACUGCACUUCACAUAAUCAUAUCAAUAAGUGAAUGCUCUUUUUAGCUGUACAAAUGCCUGUCCCAUCCCAACACCAGCCAUCACUGUGGUCACCCCAUGGUCAGACCCCAGAGGAAGCAUAUGGUGGUGGCACCAGCAUCUGACCUUGGAUGAAACGGGCAGCUCUUGCAAGAAAUCAGCCCAACACCAGUGUAAUUUUUGGGUUUCUUCUGCCUAAUUAAGGAAUCUGCACCUGAAUUUUCAUUAUGAGAAAAUCACAUCCAAUACAGAGCAAACAUAAGUGUGCCCUGGGAGGACCUCCUGCAGCAAUUAUUUGGCCUAAAUCCCUGUUUCUUACAUUAUGUUUAAUCAUUAUGUGACAGAUAAACUAAGGAUAACAGCUGCAGCAGUGGACAAGCCAUGAUGAUUAGCUAAGGAGUUUCACUUUUUCCAUUGGUGAUUAUUGAAAUGAAGCAGAAUCUAGAACCACAACUUCCAGCGAAGAAGUGGCAUGAAGCUAUGUAUUUAUAGGAAAGCAACAAUGUACACAAAGAAUGCAUACCCCAGCAACUACAUUCUCCCUUUCUACUGCAUACCGUCUCCAAUGUCACAGCGUCCCCUAAGUGUUAACGUCAUACUGUGGGACAUUGUCCUGGAAAACCUCUCAGCUGUGCAUACAGGGACAGUGCAGCAAUGGAGUUCCCCUUUCCUGAGACCCUCCAAAGAAGAAUCCUGUUGUGAGAAUGAAAAUCAUAGCAGCAGAAGCUGUGGCCUGAGCAGAGAACAAACUCACUGGAAAGCAACCACCUUCUCAAGUAGGCCUGUAGCUAGCAUGCAAGUGAUAUAAGCUGGAGUUUUACCGCCCCUCUCAGUGGGUCUUUUCCUUAUAUAUCAAUUUGAAAAAGCAAAAAUUGGGCUUAUGAAGGCUGUGGAUGACAUGGUUGUAUCUUUUGCUCAUUGUUUUCCAACUGUUCUUCAAAAUACUUGGAAGUAUAUUUAUUCUUCAUGAUCACUCAUAGUUUUUAAUGUUACAACAUGAUAUACAAAAUGGUAGGAGUUUCAGAUUCUCUUCACAGAGAGGAAGAUGUGGAGCUGAAUAAUUCAAGAAGUUGCAAGACUUUUAUUCAGGGAGUAAUGUGCACUGGCAUGGAACACCAGGAGAAGACUUGGAUUAUAGGUUUAUCUGUCUCUUUUUAUGGGUGACCUUGAAAAUGCUUAGAGAAAACUGGAGAGAAAAGCAAUUACAUUUUUGAAAUUACACACCACUGUUCUCAUUCAUCUUGAUAAGCACUUUUAAGUAAUCCAAAAAAGGCUGGAAUAAUGCUUUUACAAGAGUUAUAGAGAUCUUCGCUCUACAGAGUCAGUUUUAAAAUAAAUUUAGAUGUACAAAGAUGAUUCUUUUACUUCCUUUGUCUUGCUAAAUUGGCCAUUUCUAAAAUACUUCAGUCUGAUACUGAGGCUUUUGGCAAAAAAAAGUGUACAGGAUUUUUUUUUCUCGUUCUGAAAAGAUAUACAGCAACUCAGUUUGUGUUGUGCAGUCAUCC